AUUGAACGCUGGCGGCAGGCUUAACACAUGCAAGUCGAACGAGCGGCGGACGGGUGAGUAAUGCUUGGGAAUCUAGCUUAUGGAGGGGGAUAACUACGGGAAACGGUAGCUAAUACCGCGUACCAUAGGAUGAGCCCAACUGGGAUUAGGUUGUGGGUGAGGUAAAGGCUCACCAAGCCGACGAUCACUAGCUGGUCUGAGAGGAUGACCGGCGACACUGGGACUGAGACACGGCCCAGACUCCUACGGGAGGCAGCAGUGGGGAAUAUUUCGCAAUGGGGGCAACCUGACGCAGCCAUGCCGCGUGAAUGAAGAAGGCCUUCGGGUUGUAAAGUUCUUUCGGUAGGGAGGCGUUAACUACAGAAGAAGCACCGGCUAACUCCGUGCCAGCAGCCGCGGUAAUUC
rnacentral:rRNA from 1 species